rnacentral:lncRNA from 1 species
AUGGGCAUAACCUUAUGUUUUAAUCAAAUCUGGGGCAUUUCAGGAAAAAUCAGGCUGCGUUUGACCAGCUUCAGGGAUACAACCCGGCAUGAACCUGAGCGUAAGGUUUCGAUAAGAGAGUUUUUUGAGAACUUGGAACUUUCAUACAGUUUCAAGGCAUUUUGCAAAAAUUUGUCUCUUUCUUCUAAACAUCCUCCACAUCGUUUACUGACCUUUGAACUUAAUGUGAUGGAAAAGUUUGUUCAUCUUAUGAAAUUAUUUCCAGAAAUGUUAACCUAUGAUAAGCAGUUUGCCUGGGCAGUUUUGGAAACUAAAGACGGGUCAGGGGAUUUUAUCGAGCCACAAAAACCUAAUCACGAUAAAGAACAGCACAGUGAAGACAAAGUUAUUGAGUGGGUGAAGAAAAAAGUGACCGAAAAAGCAUAUAUAUGGUUAUACGUGUUUACCCAAAACAGCCCGUGUAUUGGCAGGAAGAAGGUGAAAUCGUGCAUGAUUCAGCUUACUGAAUUAUCAGUAUACCUUGGGCAGAACCAUGGUAUUAAAACCUUCAUAGGUUUUAGAAAAUUCUAUGGCAUUUCAGGAAAUACCAGUAAGCAUUUGCCAGAUUUAAAUUAUCGAAACAUUGCACUGGGUUCUCCAGACACUGCCCUUUGUCCUAUGGUGACGUCUUCAACCCAAAAGACAAAGGAGGGCCAACCCAACGUGGGCUUAACCACUGAUUUUUAUACAGCCAUCAAACGAAUUUUAACAGAACAAAUUUUGAGUUUACCCUUCAGAGUAAAUCCUCAUCAUCCGACUCCUUUAAGAGACAUAUUGAAAAAGGAAAUCAGAGAUGAUGAUCAUGCAUCAGAUAUAAUUAAAAUAAUCUAUCACAGUGACUAUACUAAAAAUCUGUGCAAUAAAACGGCAAAAACAUUACAAGACUUUCAAAAGAUCACCAAAGAAAAAGGAAAAGGAUUUUUAGAAGAACUGAAAGUCAAAAUUCCAGAUGUGUCCGAUAAUGUGUGUGACACCUUAAAAAGUACUCUUGAAAAACUGUUGGAGAAUGAGAUUGAUGAAGCCCACAACACGUUCCUCAAAGAUAAGAUGAGUGAAGGCAUCAACAAGGAGGCAGUGAUGUUUUAUCAGGAAUUUAUUUCUAAUCUGGACCAUCACCCAGAGAUUGGACAGUGUGUAAAUUUAUGA